rnacentral:rRNA from 1 species
UACGUAGGUGGCAAGCGUUGUCCGGAUUUACUGGGCGUAAAGAGCGCGCAGGCGGUCGAAUAAGUCGAAUGUGAAAGCCCCCGGCUCAACUGGGGAGGGUCAUUCGAUACUGUCCGACUCGAAGGCAGGAGAGGGAAGCGGAAUUCCCGGUGUAGUGGUGAAAUGCGUAGAUAUCGGGAGGAACACCAGUGGCGAAGGCGGCUUUCUGGCCUGUUCUUGACGCUGAGGCGCGAAAGCCAGGGGAGCAAACGGG